rnacentral:rRNA from 1 species
UACGGAGGGGGCUAGCGUUGUUCGGAAUUACUGGGCGUAAAGCGCACGUAGGCGGCUUUGUAAGUUAGAGGUGAAAGCCCGGGGCUCAACUCCGGAAUUGCCUUUAAGACUGCAUCGCUCGAAUUGUGGAGAGGUAAGUGGAAUUCCGAGUGUAGAGGUGAAAUUCGUAGAUAUUCGGAAGAACACCAGUGGCGAAGGCGACUUACUGGACACAUAUUGACGCUGAGGAGCGAAAGCGUGGGGAGCGAACAGG